rnacentral:rRNA from 1 species
GCGCAGCAGUCGCGAAACUUCACACUGUGCGAAAGCACGAUGAGGGAAUCCCAAGUGCUUGCACGUAAGUGUAAGCUGUUUCUCUGUUUAAACGCAGAGAGAGUAAGGGCUGGGUAAGACGGGUGCCAGCCGCCGCGGGUAAUACCUGCAGCUCAAGUGGUGACCGUUAUUAUUGGGGCCUAAAACGGUCCGUAGCCGGUUUAAUAAAUGCCUGGGUAAAUCGUGUAGCUUAACUAUACGAA